CGAGGGGAGGCAAGCGUUGUUCGGAUUUACUGGGCGUAAAGGGCGCGUAGGCGGCCACUACAAGUCACUUGUGAAAUCUCCGGGCUUAACUCGGAACGGUCAAGUGAUACUGUCGGGCUAGAGUACAGAAGGGGCAACUGGAAUUCUCGGUGUAGCGGUGAAAUGCGUAGAUAUCGAGAGGAACACCUGCGGCGAAGGCGGGUUGCUGGGCUGAUACUGACGCUGAUGCGCGAAAGCCAGGGGAGCGAACGGGAUUAGAUACCCCGGUAGUCCUGGCCUUAAACGAUGAAUGCUUGGUGUCUCGGGUUACAUAGUCCCGGGGUGCCGUCGCUAACGCUUUUAGCAUUCCGCCUGGGGAGUACGGUCGCAAGACUG
rnacentral:rRNA from 1 species